rnacentral:lncRNA from 1 species
GAGUAGCACUGAUAUCUAGCUUAAAAUUAAUUGCAAUGUUUCAAAUGCAUCUCUUCGAGGAGCCUGUGUGCGGAGUAGGUUGUCUGCUGGGUGAGACAGGACGGGGACAUUUCCAGGACAAUAUCCUGCAGAUGGUGUUACCUUCACCUGGGGGACCCUAGAGGAUGUCAUACACCACAGAAACCCACUACACUGCCGGCCCUCAGAGAAGAAACUGAAAAUGCAUGUGCAGCUAUCUCAAUGGCCAAGGGCACCCGAGCAGCAGUUCACCUACUAAUAAAUGUGUGGAAGCCGGUGGCCACCACUUUGAGCUCUGGUAACUGUAGAGGCCAAAGGAACCUUGUGUUAAUCUCGUGA